GAUCAUUAUUGAAAUAAACCUGAUGAGUUGCUGCUGGCUCUCUAGGGAGCAUGUGCACACUUGUCAUCUUUAUAUCUCCACCUGUGCACCUUUUGUAGACCUGGAUAUCUCUCUGAGUGCUUAGCACUUCAGGUUUGAGGAUUGACUUUAUUGUUCUCUCUUUAUAUUUCCAGGCCUAUGUUUCUUCAUAUACCCCAUUGUAUGUUAUAGAAUGUAGUAAAUAGGCCUUUGUGCCUAUAAACCUAUACAACUUUCAGCAACGGAUCUCUUGGCUCUCGCAUCGAUGAAGAACGCAGCGAAAUGCGUUAAGUAAUGUGAAUUGCAGAAUUCAGUGAAUCAUCGAAUCUUUGAACGCACCUUGCGCUCCUUGGUAUUCCGAGGAGCAUGCCUGUUUGAGUGUCAUUAAUAUAUCAACCUCUUCAACUUUGUUGAGUGUUGGAUGUGGGGGNUUUUUUUUUGCUGGCCUCUCUCUCUGAGUUCAGCUCCCCUGAAAUACAUUAGCGGAACAAUUUGUUCAUUUGGCGUGAUAAUUAUCUAUGCUAUUGACAUGAAGCAGUUCAGCUUAUAACAGUCCAUUGACUUGGACAAUUUUAUUAUUAUUAAUGUGACCUCAAAUCAGGUAGGACUACCCGCUGAACUUAAGCAUAUCAAUAAGCGGAGGAAAAGAAACUAACAAGGAUUCCCCUAGUAACUGCGAGUGAAGCGGGAAAAGCUCAAAUUUAAAA
rnacentral:rRNA from 1 species